UUUGAUUAUGGCUCAGGAUGAACGCUAGCUACAGGCUUAACACAUGCAAGUCGAGGGGAAACGACAUCGAAAGCUUGCUUUUGAUGGGCGUCGACCGGCGCACGGGUGAGUAACGCGUAUCCAACCUGCCCACCACUUGGGGAUAACCUUGCGAAAGUAGGACUAAUACCCAAUGAUAUCUCUAGAAGGCAUCUGAAGGAGAUUAAAGAUUUAUCGGUGAUGGAUGGGGAUGCGUCUGAUUAGCUUGUUGGCGGGGUAACGGCCCACCAAGGCGACGAUCAGUAGGGGUUCUGAGAGGAAGGUCCCCCACAUUGGAACUGAGACACGGUUCAAACUCCUACGGGAGGCAGCAGUGAGGAAUAUUGGUCAAUGGGCGAGAGCCUGAACCAGCCAAGUAGCGUGCAGGAUGACGGCCCUAUGGGUUGUAAACUGCUUUUAUAAGGGAAUAAAGUGAGAGUCGUGACUCUUUUUGCAUGUACCUUAUGAAUAAGGACCGGCUAAUUCCGUGCCAGCAGCCGCGGUAAUACGGAAGGUCCGGGCGUUAUCCGGAUUUAUUGGGUUUAAAGGGAGCGUAGGCCGGAGAUUAAGCGUGUUGUGAAAUGUAGAUGCUCAACAUCUGCACUGCAGCGCGAGCUGGUUUCCUUGAGUACGCACAAAGUGGGCGGAAUUCGUGGUGUAGCGGUGAAAUGCUUAGAUAUCACGAAGAACUCCGAUUGCGAAGGCAGCUCACUGGAGCGCAACUGACGCUGAAGCUCGAAAGUGCGGGUAUCGAACAGGAUUAGAUACCCUGGUAGUCCGCACGGUAAACGAUGGAUGCCCGCUGUUGGUCUGAAUAGGUCAGCGGCCAAGCGAAAGCAUUAAGCAUCCCACCUGGGGAGUACGCCGGCAACGGUGCAACUCAAAUGAAUUGACGGA
rnacentral:rRNA from 1 species